AUUGAACGCUGGCGGAAUGCUUUACACAUGCAAGUCGAACGGCAGCACGGACUUCGGUCUGGUGGCGAGUGGCGAACGGGUGAGUAAUACAUCGGAACGUGCCCAGUCGUGGGGGAUAACGUAGCGAAAGCUACGCUAAUACCGCAUACGAUCUAAGGAUGAAAGCGGGGGAUCGCAAGACCUCGCGCGAUUGGAGCGGCCGAUGGCAGAUUAGGUAGUUGGUAGGGUGAAGGCCUACCAAGCCGACGAUCUGUAGCUGGUCUGAGAGGAUGAUCAGCCACACUGGGACUGAGACACGGCCCAGACUCCUACGGGAGGCAGCAGUGGGGAAUUUUGGACAAUGGGCGCAAGCCUGAUCCAGCCAUUCCGCGUGCAGGAUGAAGGCCUUCGGGUUGUAAACUGCUUUUGUACAGAACGAAAAGGCUCUGGUUAAUACCCGGGGCUCAUGACGGUACUGUAAGAAUAAGCACCGGCUAACUACGUGCCAGCCGCCGCUUAA
rnacentral:rRNA from 1 species